AGCGAACGCUGGCGGCAGGCUUAACACAUGCAAGUCGAGCGGGUGUAGCAAUACAUCAGCGGCAGACGGGUGAGUAACGCGUGGGAACGUACCUUUUGGUUCGGAACAACCCAGGGAAACUUGGGCUAAUACCGGAUAAGCCCUUACGGGGAAAGAUUUAUCGCCGAAAGAUCGGCCCGCGUCUGAUUAGCUAGUUGGUGAGGGAAUGGCUCACCAAGGCGGCGAUCAGUAGCUGGUCUGAGAGGAUGAUCAGCCACAUUGGGACUGAGACACGGCCCAAACUCCUACGGGAGGCAGCAGUGGGGAAUAUUGGACAAUGGGGGCAACCCUGAUCCAGCCAUGCCGCGUGAGUGAUGAAGGCCCUAGGGUUGUAAAGCUCUUUUGUGCGGGAAGAUAAUGACGGUACCGCAAGAAUAAGCCCCGGCUAACUUCGUGCCAGCAGCCGCCGUAACAC
rnacentral:rRNA from 1 species